UCCCGCUUAUCACGGGCAGUUCCCCUAAAGUGCCCACCAUAACGUGCUGGCAACCAAGGGUGUGGGUUGCGCUCGUUGCCGGACUUAACCGAACAUCUCACGACACGAGCUGACGACAGCCAUGCAGCACCUGUCCACCCGUCCCUUGCGGGAAAGACGCCUCUCAGCGCCGGUCGGGCGAUGUCAAGGGUUGGUAAGGUUCUGCGCGUUGCUUCGAAUUAAUCCACAUCAUCCACCGCUUGUGCGGGUCCCCGUCAAUUCCUUUGAGUUUUAAUCUUGCGACCGUACUCCCCAGGCGGUCUACUUCCCGCGUUAGCUGCGUUACCAAGGAAAUUAAUCCCCGACAACUAGUAGACAUCGUUUAGGGCGUGGACUAC
rnacentral:misc_RNA from 1 species